rnacentral:rRNA from 1 species
UACGGGGGGGGCAAGCGUUGUUCGGAAUUACUGGGCGUAAAGGGCUCGUAGGUGGCCAACUAAGUCAUACGUGAAAUCCCUCAGCUUAACUGGGGAACUGCGUCUGAUACUGGAUGGCUUGAGUUUGGGAGAGGGAUGCGGAAUUCCAGGUGUAGCGGUGAAAUGCGUAGAUAUCUGGAGGAACACCGGUGGUGUAGACGGCUUACUGGACCAUGACUGACGCUGAGGCACGAAAGCGUGGGUAGCAAACAGG